UUAAACGCUGGCGGCAUGCCUUACACAUGCAAGUCGAACGGCAGCACGGGGGCAACCCUGGUGGCGAGUGGCGGACGGGUGAGUAAAGCAUCGGAACGUAUCCUGGAGUGGGGGAUAACGUAGCGAAAGUUACGCUAAUACCGCAUAUUCUGUGAGCAGGAAAGCAAGGGAUCGCAAGACCUUGCGCUCUGGGAGCGGCCGAUGUCGGAUUAGCUAGUUGGUGGGGUAAAGGCCUACCAAGGCGACGAUCCGUAGCGGGUCUGAGAGGAUGAUCCGCCACACUGGAACUGAGACACGGUCCAGACUCCUACGGGAGGCAGCAGUGGGGAAUUUUGGACAAUGGGCGCAAGCCUGAUCCAGCCAUGCCGCGUGAGUGAAGAAGGCCUUCGGGUUGUAAAGCUCUUUCAGCCGGGAAGAAAACGCAUGGGUUAAUACCCUGUGUGGAUGACGGUACCGGAAUAAGAAGCACCGGCUAACUACGUGCCAGCAGCCGCGGUAAUACGUAGGGUGCGAGCGUUAAUCGGAAUUACUGGGCGUAAAGCGUGCGCAGGCGGUUUGUUAAGAUAGGCGUGAAAUCCCCGGGCUCAACCUGGGAACUGCGUUUAUGACUGGCAGGCUAGAGUAUGGCAGAGGGGGGUGGAAUUCCACGUGUAGCAGUGAAAUGCGUAGAGAUGUGGAGGAACACCGAUGGCGAAGGCAGCCCCCUGGGCCAAUACUGACGCUCAUGCACGAAAGCGUGGGUAGCAAACAGGAUUAGAUACCCUGGUAGUCCACGCCCUAAACGAUGUCAACUAGUGUUGGGAGGGUAAAACCUUUUAGUACCGGAGCUAACGCGUGAAGUUGACCGCCUGGGGAGUACGGCCGCAAGGUUAAAACUCAAAGGAAUUGACGGGACCCGCACAAGCGGUGAUGAUGUGGAU
rnacentral:rRNA from 1 species